rnacentral:rRNA from 1 species
GGGUAGCUUAACCUUCGGGGGGGCGCUCACCACUUUGUGGUUCAUGACUGGGGUGAAGUCGUAACAAGGUAGCCCUAGGGGAACCUGGGGCUGGAUCACCUCCUUA